rnacentral:tRNA from 1 species
GGCUUCGUAGCUCAGCUGGUAGAGCGCUUGCCGCGUACACUCACGGUGUUUUUGUCGCUGGUUCGAAUCCAGCCGAAGCCC